rnacentral:rRNA from 1 species
GACGAACCGUACGAACGUUAUUCGGAAUCACUGGGCUUAAAGGGUGCGUAGGCUGUGCAGAAAGUUGGGUGUGAAAUACCUCGGCUUAACCGAGGAACAGCACUCAAUACUACUGUGCUCGAGGGAGACAGAGGUAAGCGGAACUUAGGGUGGAGCGGUGAAAUGCGUUGAUAUCCUAAGGAACACCGGUGGCGAAAGCGGCUUACUGGGUCUCUUCCGACGCUGAGGCACGAAAGCUAGGGUAGCGAACGGG